UGCCUGUGUCUCUAGCAGCUGUUCUGUAGGCAGUGCACCAGGCAGAAGAUAUGCCUUCAGUGCUCUGAACUUCUAGAGACGUGUUCAAGGAAACUCAGAGUGAAUUAAGUGACUUAGUCUUGGACUGCCUGUGAGACCAGAAUGAGCUUGGUGGACUUAAGUUGUCCAUGAUGAGUCUUAGGGCUGGUUAUCUUGCGCUUGUACAGGGCAAACUGUAUGUAUUGGAAACCCAGGACCA